rnacentral:rRNA from 1 species
GACGAACGCUGGCGGCGUGCUUAACACAUGCAAGUGGGGCGACGAACCAGGCUUCGGCCUGGGGCAAAGCCGCGAACGGGUGAGUAACACGUGGGUAACCUGCCCCGAAGACUGGGACAACCCGGGGAAACCCGGGCUAAUACCGGAUGUGGUCAUCGUUCACAAGGACGAUGAGCAAAGGAAGCUUCGGCCUCCGCUUCGGGAUGGGCCCGCGGCCCAUUAGCUUGUUGGUGAGGUAACGGCUCACCAAGGCUUCGAUGGGUAGCUGGUCUGAGAGGACGAUCAGCCACACUGGGACUGAGACACGGCCCAGACUCCUACGGGAGGCGGCAGUGGGGAAUCUUGCGCAAUGCGCGAAAGCGUGACGCAGCAACGCCGCGUGGGGGAAGACGGCCUUCGGGUUGUAAACCCCUUUCAGGAGGGACGAAGCUCCGGUCGCGAAUAGCGGUCCGGAGUGACGGUACCUCCACAAGAAGCCCCGGCUAACUACGUGC